rnacentral:rRNA from 1 species
AUUGAAUGCUGGCGGCAUGCCUUACACAUGCAAGUCGAACGGUAACAGGUCUUCGGAUGCUGACGAGUGGCGAACGGGUGAGUAAUACAUCGGAACGUGCCCGAGAGUGGGGGAUAACGAAGCGAAAGCUUUGCUAAUACCGCAUACGAUCUGAGGAUGAAAGCGGGGGACCGUAAGGCCUCGCGCGAUCGGAGCGGCCGAUGUCAGAUUAGGUAGGUGGUGGGGUAAAGGCUCACCAAGCCAACGAUCUGUAGCUGGUCUGUGAGGACGACCAGCCACACUGGGACUGAGACACGGCCCAGACUCCUACGGGAGGCAGCAGUGGGGAAUUUUGGACAAUGGGCGAAAGCCUGAUCCAGCAAUGCCGCGUGCAGGAAGAAGGCCUUCGGGUUGUAAACUGCUUUUGUACGGAGCGAAAAGGUCUCCUCUAAUACAGGGGGCUCAUGACGGUACCGUAAGAAUAAGCACCGGCUAACUACGUGCCAGCAGCCGCCGCCG